rnacentral:rRNA from 2 species
AUGUGGGGCCGUAGCGAGAGCGAGUCUGAAUAGGGCCUUUAGUAUUUGGUCGUAGACCCGACACCAGGUGAUCUACCCUUGGUCAGGUUGAAGUUCAGGUAACACUGAAUGGAGGACCGAGCCGACUUACGUUGAAAAGUGAGCGGAUGAACUGAGGGUAGCGGAGAAAUUCCAAUCGAACCUGGAGAUGGCUGGUUCUCUCCGAAAUAGCUUUAGGGCUAGCCUCAAGUGAUGGUUAUUGGAGGUAGAGCACUGUUUGGACGAGGGGCCCCUCUCGGGUUACCGAAUUCAGACAAACUCCGAAUGCCGAUUAAUUUAACUUGGGAGUCAGAACAUGGGUGGUAAGGCCCGUGUUCGAAAGGGAAACAGCCCAGACCACCAGCUAAGGUCCCAAAA